rnacentral:misc_RNA from 1 species
AACGCACGAGACCUGCGGACCUGCGGAAGGAUCAUUACCGAGUUCUCGCCCCUCGCGGGGUAGACCUCCCACCCACUGUGAUCACUACCGUCGUUGCUUUGGCGGGCCGCUGGGCCCAGCCCACCGCCGGCUCCGGCUGGCGCGUGCCCGCCAGAGGCCCUACAAACGCUGGAUAUCAGUGCCGUCUGAGUACACAUGUUAAUCGUUAAAACUUUUAACAACGGAUCUCUAGAUCGGAAG